UACGUAGGGGGCAAGCGUUGUCCGGAUUUACUGGGCGUAAAGAGCGUGUAGGCGGCCAUACAGGUCAGCUGUGAAAACUCGAGGCUCAACCUCGAGACGUCGGUUGAAACCGUAUGGCUAGAGUCCGGGAGAGGAGAGUGGAAUUCCCGGUGUAGCGGUGAAAUGCGCAGAUAUCGGGAAGAACACCCGUGGCGAAGGCGGCUCUCUGGGACGGUACUGACGCUGAGACGCGAAAGCUAGGGGAGCAAACGGG
rnacentral:rRNA from 1 species